rnacentral:miRNA from 1 species
UGCAUUGCGUGCGACGUCCCUA